CAGAGGUAGAGAUUAGGUAAACAGAGAACUUACUUGGUAAGAGGUAGAGAUUAGGUAAACAGAGAACUCACUUGGUAGGAGGUAGAGAUUAGGUAAACAGAGAACUUACUUGGUAGGAGGUAGAGAUUAGGUAAACAGAGAACUUACUUGGUAAGAGGUAGAGAUUAGGUAAACAGAGAACUUACUUGGUAGGAGGUAGAGAUUAGGUAAACAGAGAAAUUACUUGGUAGGAGGUAGAGAUUAGGUAAACAGAGAACUCACUUGGUAGGAGGUAGAGAUUAGGUAAACAGUGAACUUACUUGGUAAGAGGUAGAGAUUAGGUAAACAGUCAACUCACUUGGUAAGAGGUAGAGAUUAGGUAAACAGAGAACUCACUUGGUAAGAGGUAGAGAUUAGGUAAACAGAGAACUUACUUGGUAAGAGGUAGAGAUUAGGUAAACAGUCAACUCACUUGGUAAGAGGUAGAGAUUAGGUAAACAGAGAACUUACUUGGUAAGAGGUAGAGAUUAGGUAAACAGUCAACUCACUUGGUAGGAGGUAGAGAUUAGGUAAACAGAGAACUUACUUGGUAGGAGGUAGAGAUUAGGUAAACAGUCAACUCACUUGGUAAGAGGUAGAGAUUAGGUAAACAGAGAACUCACUUGGUAAGAGGUAGAGAUUAGGUAAACAGAGAACUCACUUGGUAGGAGGUAGAGAUUAGGUAAACAGUGAACUUACUUGGUAAGAGGUAGAGAUUAGGUAAACAGAGAACU